GGGUUGUGAGGUUAAGCGACUAAGCGUACACGGUGGAUGCCCUGGCAGUCAGAGGCGAUGAAGGACGUGCUAAUCUGCGAUAAGCGCCGGUAAGGUGAUAUGAACCGUUAUAACCGGCGAUUUCCGAAUGGGGAAACCCAGUGUGACUCGUCACACUAUCAUUAACUGAAUCCAUAGGUUAAUGAGGCGAACCGGGGGAACUGAAACAUCUAAGUACCCCGAGGAAAAGAAAUCAACCGAGAUUCCCCCAGUAGCGGCGAGCGAACGGGGAGGAGCCCAGAGCCUGAAUCAGCAUGUGUGUUAGUGGAAGCGUCUGGAAAGGCGCGCGAUACAGGGUGACAGCCCCGUACACAAAAGCGCAUAUGCUGUGAGCUCGAUGAGUAGGGCGGGACACGUGGUAUCCUGUCUGAAUAUGGGGGGACCAUCCUCCAAGGCUAAAUACUCCUGACUGACCGAUAGUGAACCAGUACCGUGAGGGAAAGGCGAAAAGAACCCCGGCGAGGGGAGUGAAAAAGAACCUGAAACCGUGUACGUACAAGCAGUGGGAGCCCCACCACUAAGCCAGUGGUGAACUCCACAUACGCAUCCUUUGCUGAGGAUACGGUUAACGGAGCGAAAGCGACGUUCAACCGCAAAAGAAGCAGAGGGGGCUUAGUGGUGGGGUGACUGCGUACCUUUUGUAUAAUGGGUCAGCGACUUAUAUUCUGUAGCAAGGUUAACCGAAUAGGGGAGCCGGAGGGAAACCGAGUCUUAAUUGGGCGUUAAGUUGCAGGGUAUAGACCCGAAACCCGGUGAUCUAGCCAUGGGCAGGUUGAAGGUUGGGUAACACUAACUGGAGGACCGAACCGACUAAUGUUGAAAAAUUAGCGGAUGACCUGUGGCUGGGGGUGAAAGGCCAAUCAAACCGGGAGAUAGCUGGUUCUCCCCGAAAGCUAUUUAGGUAGCGCCUCGUGAAUUCAUCUCCGGGGGUAGAGCACUGUUUCGGCUAGGGGGCCAUCCCGGCUUACCAACCCGAUGCAAACUGCGAAUACCGGAGAAUGUUAUCACGGGAGACACACGGCGGGUGCUAACGUCCGUCGUGAAGAGGGAAACAACCCAGACCGCCAGCUAAGGUCCCAAAGUCAUGGUUAAGUGGGAAACGAUGUGGGAAGGCCCAGACAGCCAGGAUGUUGGCUUAGAAGCAGCCAUCAUUUAAAGAAAGCGUAAUAGCUCACUGGUCGAGUCGGCCUGCGCGGAAGAUGUAACGGGGCUAAACCAUGCACCGAAGCUGCGGCAGCGACACUCAGG
rnacentral:rRNA from 1 species